rfam:Gordonia terrae NBRC 100016 DNA, contig: GOTRE030.
AUCUUCUAUGGAGGGUCGGCCAGGUGUGUGGGUGGGUAGGGGAGCGUCCUGCAUCCGUGGAAGCGCCGGAGUGAUCCAGGUGUGGAGGGUGUGGGAGUGAGAAUGCAGGCAUGAGUAGCGAAAGCAGAGUGAGAAACUCUGCCGCCGAAUGACCAAGGGUUCCUGGGCCAGGCUAAUCCGCCCAGGGUGAGUCGGGACCUAAGGCGAGGCCGACAGGCGUAGUCGAUGGACAACGGGUUGAUAUUCCCGUACCCGUGUAUCCGCGCCCAUGCUGAAUCAGUUGUACUAACCAUCCUGAUCCCCCGGGAGCACCUUCGGGUGCCGAGUUGGGGUGAUGCAUGGGACCUUGGCUGGUAGUAGGCAAGCGAUGGGGUGACGCAGGAAGGUAGUGGGGCCAGUCAGUGGUUGUACUGGUGUAAGCCUGUAGGGCGAGUGAUAGGCAAAUCCGUCACUCAUACAGCCUGAGAGGUGAUGCGUAGCCGUUGAGGUGAAUUCCAUGAUCCUAUGCUGCCGAGAAAAGCCUCUAGUGAGUUGGUACACGGCCCGUACCCCAAACCAACACAGGUGGUCAGGUAGAGAAUACUAAGGCGAUCGAGAGAACUGUGGUUAAGGAACUCGGCAAAAUGCCCCCGUAACUUCGGGAGAAGGGGGACCCAUCCUGGUGACGGCAUUUACUGCUUGAGCUGGUGUGGGUCGCAGAGACCAGAGAGAAGCGACUGUUUACUAAAAACACAGGUCCGUGCGAAGUCGUAAGACGAUGUAUACGGACUGACGCCUGCCCGGUGCUGGAAGGUUAAGAGGACCGGUUAGUCAUUUCGGUGGCGAAGCUGAGAAUUUAAGCCCCAGUAAACGGCGGUGGUAACUAUAACCAUCCUAAGGUAGCGAAAUUCCUUGUCGGGUAAGUUCCGACCUGCACGAAUGGCGUAACGACUUCUCUGCUGUCUCAACCACAGACUCGGCGAAAUUGCAGUACGAGUAAAGAUGCUCGUUACGCGCGGCAGGACGAAAAGACCCCGGGACCUUCACUAUAGCUUGGUAUUGGUGUUCGGUUCGGUUUGUGUAGGAUAGGUGGGAGACUGUGAAGUGGGCACGCCAGUGUUCAUGGAGUCGUUGUUGAAAUACCACUCUGAUCGUAUUGGACUUCUAACCUCGGACCCUGAUCGGGUUCAGGGACAGUGCCUGGUGGGUAGUUUAACUGGGGCGGUUGCCUCCUAAAAGGUAACGGAGGCGCCCAAAGGUUCCCUCAGCCUGGUUGGCAAUCAGGUGUUGAGUGUAAGUGCACAAGGGAGCUUGACUGUGAGACGUACAUGUCGAGCAGGGACGAAAGUCGGGACUAGUGAUCCGGCACCGGCAAGUGGAAGCGGUGUCGCUCAACGGAUAAAAGGUACCCCGGGGAUAACAGGCUGAUCUUCCCCAAGAGUCCAUAUCGACGGGAUGGUUUGGCACCUCGAUGUCGGCUCGUCGCAUCCUGGGGCUGGAGUAGGUCCCAAGGGUUGGGCUGUUCGCCCAUUAAAGCGGCACGCGAGCUGGGUUUAGAACGUCGUGAGACAGUUCGGUCUCUAUCCGCCGCGCGCGUAAGAAACUUGAGGAAACCUGUCCCUAGUACGAGAGGACCGGGACGGACGAACCUCUGGUGUGCCAGUUGUCCCGCCAGGGGCACUGCUGGUUAGCUACGUUCGGAAGGGAUAACCGCUGAAAGCAUCUAAGCGGGAAGCCUGUUCCAAGAUGAGGUUUCUCACCCCCUCAGCGGGGUUAAGGCCCCCUACAGACCAUGGGGUUGAUAGGCCAGAACUGUACGCACAGCAAUGUGUUCAGGUGACUGGUACUAAUCGGCCGAGGACUUACCAAC